CUAACAUUUUCAGACCAGAGAGUGUUAUUGAGAGCCCUCCACCUGUAUCCAGACAUGCUCCCAGAUCCCAAAACCCACAGAGAAAGAUACUGACUGAGAGGAAGAGUGAGAGAUUAGUGAGAGACAGAUGGAGAGUGAUGGAGAAAGGUGAGCAGUGUUAAAGAGGUUUUAGGGUUAGUGGAGGUGGGCAGUGUUUAAGAGGUUUUAGGGUUAGUGGAGGUGGGCAGUGUUUAAGAGGUUUUAUGGUUAGUGGAGGUGGGCAGUGUUUAAGAGGUUUUAGGGUUAGUGGAGGUGGGCAGUGUUUAAGAGGUUUUAGGGUUAGUGGAGGUGGGCAGUGUUUAAGAGGUUUUAGGGUUAGUGGAGGUGGGCAGUGUUUAAGAGGUUUUAUGGUUAGUGGAGGUGGGCAGUGUUUAAGAGGUUUUAGGGUUAGUGGAGGUGGGCAGUGUUAAAGAGGUUUUAGGGUUAGUGGAGGUGGGCAGUGUUUUAUAUUAGAUAUUUACUGUGGUAUUAACAUUUAGUGCAUACUUUCCCAGUGACAAAUAAAGGGUAAAGGAAUGUGACACAUGAAUGCAGUCAGGAAGUAGCCUUCUCCAGUAGCAUUCUUCUGUAGGGCAAAACAGUCUGAAUCAUUGGCUGGCAGCAGGGAUGACAUCAAAACGCUAGUCAGGUUGUAGGGAGAGCCAUCAGACCACAC
ensembl:lncRNA